rnacentral:rRNA from 1 species
UUAGUCUUAUAAUUUAAGACUAGAAUGAAAGAGUCAACCUAAAAAAAUAUUUUUUUGAUGUAAUCUAUUAAAUUUUACUUUUUAGUAAAAAGGCUAAAAUCACCCUUAAAGACAAGAAGACCCUGUAAAACUUUACACUCAACUUAUAUUAUGCAUAAUACAAGUGUUUAGCUGGGGUGGCUAAGGAAAAAACAUCCUCACAAUUUUAUAAUUCAAUUACCCUACCCAGAAUUUCUGAAACUAAAAUAAGUUACUUCAGGGAUAACAGCGUAAUAUAUUUUAAAAGAUCACAUUGACAAAUAUGUUUGCGACCUCGAUGUUGGAUUGGGGAAUCUUUUUUCUGCAAAAGGAAAAAAAGAAGGUC